GACAAACGCUGGCGGCGUGCAUAAAACAUGCAAGUCGCACGGCCUCUUCGGAGGCAGUGGCAGACGGCUGAGUAACGCGUAGGGAUCUACCCAGCAGUGGGGAAUAACGGCCCGAAAGGGUCGCUAAUACCGCAUACGACCACCUUUCGGGGUGAGGAAAGCCGCAAGGCGCUGGUGGAGGAACCUGCGUCCGAUUAGCUAGUUGGUGGGGUAACGGCCUACCAAGGCGACGAUCGGUAGCUGGCUGAGAGGAUGACCAGCCAGACUGGGACUGGGACACGGCCCAGACUCCUACGGGAGGCAGCAGUUAGGAAUUUUGGGCAAUGGCCGCAAGGCUGACCCAGCAACGCCGCGUGGGGGACGAAGGCCUUCGGUCGUAACCC
rnacentral:rRNA from 1 species